GAUCGCCGGCUAAGGCCCCUAAGCGUGUACUAAGUGGAAAAGGAUGUGGGAUCGCGAAGACAGCCAGGAGGUUGGCUUAGAAGCAGCCAUCCUUGAAAGAGUGCGUAAUAGCUCACUGGUCGAGUGGUUCUGCGCCGACAAUGUAGUGGGGCUCAAGUACACCGCCGAAGCCGCGGCAGCAACCAUUUUUGGUUGUUGGGUAGGGGAGCGUCGUGCACGCGAUGAAGCUAUACCGUGAGGGGUGGUGGAGUGUGUGCGAGUGAGAAUGCAGGCAUGAGUAACGAAUUGGCAAGUGAGAAUCUUGCCCGCCGGAUGACUAAGGGUUCCUGGGUCAAGUUCGUCUUCCCAGGGUGAGUCGGGACCUAAGGCGAGGCCGACAGGCGUAGUCGAUGGACAACGGGUUGAUAUUCCCGUACCCGUGUAUGUGCGCCCGUGGUGAAUCAGUGAUACUAACCACCCACAAACCUCGUGGAGUCGUCUUUGACGUCUCCACCUGGCGCGUGCGUGGGGCCUAAUCUGGUAGUAGCCAAGUGAUGGGGUGACGCAGUGGGGUAGCCGUGCCACUUAUUGGAUUGUGGUGUAAGCGUGUAGCACGAGGGGACAGGCAAAUCCGCCCCUCAUGAUGUGUGAGACGUGAUGCGUAGCCCGUUGUGGGUGAUGUCGGUGAUCCCGUGCUGUCGAGAAAAGCCUCUAGCGAUGUACAUGCAUGGCCCGUACCCUAAACCGACACAGGUAGUCAGGUAGAGAAUACUAAGGCGUUCGGGUGAACUGUGGUUAAGGAACUCGGCAAAAUGCCCCCGUAACUUCGGGAGAAGGGGGGCCGUCACUGGUGAAGCAUCUUGCAUGUGGAGCUGGUGGUGGUCGCAGAGAAUAGAGGGAAGCGACUGUUUAUUAAAAACACAGGUCCGUGCGAAGACGCUUAAGUUGAUGUAUACGGACUGACGCCUGCCCGGUGCUGGAAGGUUAAGAGGACCUGUUAGCGACCUUCGGGUUGCGAAGCGGAGAAUUUAAGCCCCAGUAAACGGCGGUGGUAACUAUAACCAUCCUAAGGUAGCGAAAUUCCUUGUCGGGUAAGUUCCGACCUGCACGAAUGGCGUAACGACUUCCCUGCUGUCUCAACCACAGGCCCGGUGAAAUUGCAGUACGAGUAAAGAUGCUCGUUACGCGCGGCAGGACGAAAAGACCCCGGGACCUUCACUAUAGCUUGGUAUUGGUGUUCGGUUCGGUUUGUGUAGGAUAGGUGGGAGACUGUGAUGCGGGCACGCCAGUGUUCGUGGAGUCGUUGUUGAAAUACCACUCUGAUCGUAUUGGAUGUCUAACCUCGGGCCCUGAUCGGGUUCAGGGACAGUGCCUGGUGGGUAGUUUAACUGGGGCGGUUGCCUCCUAAAAUGUAACGGAGGCGCCCAAAGGUUCCCUCAGCCUGGUUGGCAAUCAGGUGGUGAGUG
rnacentral:rRNA from 1 species